rnacentral:rRNA from 1 species
CCUACGGGUGGCAGCAGUGGGGGAUAUUGCACAAUGGGGGAAACCCUGAUGCAGCGACGCCGCGUGGGUGAAGAAGCGCCUCGGCGCGUAAAGCCCUGUCAGCAGGGAAGAAAAUGACGGUACCUGAAGAAGAAGCCCCGGCUAACUACGUGCCAGCAGCCGCGGUAAUACGUAGGGGGCAAGCGUUAUCCGGAUUUACUGGGUGUAAAGGGGGCGCAGACGGCGAUGCAAGUCAGGAGUGAAAGCCGGGGGCCCAACCCCGGGACUGCUCUUGGAACUGCGUGGCUGGAGUGCAGGAGGGGCAGGCGGAAUUCCUGGUGUAGCGGUGAAAUGCGUAGAUAUCAGGAGGAACACCGGUGGCGAAGGCGGCCUGCUGGACUGCAACUGACGUUGAGGCCCGAAAGCGUGGGGAGCAAACAGGAUUAGAUACCCGAGUAGUC